UGCAGUCGAACGAGUUCUCGUUGAUGAUCGGUGCUUGCACCGAGAUUCAACAUGGAACGAGUGGCGGACGGGUGAGUAACACGUGGGUAACCUGCCCUUAAGUGGGGGAUAACAUUUGGAAACAGAUGCUAAUACCGCAUAGAUCCAAGAACCGCAUGGUUCUUGGCUGAAAGAUGGCGUAAGCUAUCGCUUUUGGAUGGACCCGCGGCGUAUUAGCUAGUUGGUGAGGUAAUGGCUCACCAAGGCGAUGAUACGUAGCCGAACUGAGAGGUUGAUCGGCCACAUUGGGACUGAGACACGGCCCAAACUCCUACGGGAGGCAGCAGUAGGGAAUCUUCCACAAUGGACGCAAGUCUGAUGGAGCAACGCCGCGUGAGUGAAGAAGGCUUUCGGGUCGUAAAACUCUGUUGUUGGAGAAGAAUGGUCGGCAGAGUAACUGUUGUCGGCGUGACGGUAUCCAACCAGAAAGCCACGGCUAACUACGUGCCAGCAGCCGCGGUAAUACGUAGGUGGCAAGCGUUAUCCGGAUUUAUUGGGCGUAAAGCGAGCGCAGGCGGUUUUUUAAGUCUGAUGUGAAAGCCCUCGGCUUAACCGAGGAAGCGCAUCGGAAACUGGGAAACUUGAGUGCAGAAGAGGACAGUGGAACUCCAUGUGUAGCGGUGAAAUGCGUAGAUAUAUGGAAGAACACCAGUGGCGAAGGCGGCUGUCUGGUCUGUAACUGACGCUGAGGCUCGAAAGCAUGGGUAGCGAACAGGAUUAGAUACCCUGGUAGUCCAUGCCGUAAACGAUGAAUGCUAGGUGUUUGGAAGGGUUUCCGCCCUUCAGUGCCGCAGCUAACGCAUUAAGCAUUCCGCCUGGGGAGUACGACCGCAAGGUUGAAACUCAAAGGAAUUGACGGGGGCCCGCACAAGCGGUGGAGCAUGUGGUUUAAUUCGAA
rnacentral:rRNA from 1 species